GUCUCAGUUCGGAUCGGAGUCUGCAACCCGACUCCGUGAAGCUGGAUUCGCUAGUAAUCGCGCAUCAGCCAUGGCGCGGUGAAUACGUUCCCGGGUCUUGUACACACCGCCCGUCACACCAUGGGAGUCAGUAACGCCCGAAGCCGGUGACCUAACCGAAAGGGAGGAGCCGUCGAAGGUGGGACCGAUAACUGGGGUGAAGUCGUAACAAGGUACC
rnacentral:rRNA from 1 species